GGCCUCCGUGUAGGCCUCCCUGAAGCCUGAACUCUGCAGGCCCCAAGGAAGCCAGGAAGAAGAUGGCAGGCAGAGUUCUCUGCAGCAGCAGACCCUCUGCCCAGAAUAUCCAGCACAGCUUUUGCCAGUUACUCAAAGCAACAUAUAUGUGGCUAUCCCAAUUUUAACUUCGCAAUGGCCCUCCAAGUGAAUCAUCUUUUGAGUUACUUACUGGCUUAUGAAGUGAGCUUCAUAACUGAGCAGGGAUUUGAAUCCAGCUCUUCCUAUUCCAUAACAGGUUAAUUUUCCAAUCCACUAAUGAAGAGCUCUGUGAAAUCUGAAAGAUUUGCUUGCCCCAACCUAAACUGCUCUAAGAGAAGACAACAUUUUGCUUUUAUAUAGAGAGGGUGUUCUCACAUGCAGCCAAGACCAGGCUAAGGCAGCCAAGCUCGGUCUUGGCUGCGCAUGAGAUCCAAUGGCAACCACGCAGCUCCCGCCGGCAAUUCUGUUAAGAACAUUUGGGGUAGUAUACCAACGAUAAAACACUUUAUACUAGUUUUCCCUAAGAUUGUUACUUGAAGUAAAUUUAAUGUUCUUUUCCCAUUGAAAUUGAAGUAAUUUGUAAGUAUUGAAACCAAGGAGGCUUUUGUGUCGAUUCCGAUGUAUUUGAAUAGAUUUCGGUUUUACAUUAUUCAAAGUCAGAUUUUGUAAAAUAUAUGUCUUCUCUCUCCAAAGGUUAUAUUUACUGGUCCAUUCUUCCUCAUGCAAAUAAAGGGGCCUGCUGUUUAGCCAGGGUUAAGAGCCCAAGGGCACCCUUAACUUGGGAUAAAAUCUCUCGUAUUCGAACCAACUUGGAUGGAGACUCUGAAUUGAGGGUGUCCAGCAAUUCCUCUUAUGUGGUUCGACUGGAUCAGUUUCAGUUUGUGACUCCUGAGGAUGUGGACAAGCUGCUUAGAAAGAUGAGGCCUACCACUUGUCCUCUUGACCCUUGCCUGACAUCUAGCAGGGAGACUGUUGUA